UACGUAGGGUGCAAGCGUUAAUCGGAAUUACUGGGCGUAAAGCGUGCGCAGGCGGUUGUGUAAGACAGAUGUGAAAUGCCCGGGCUCAACCUGGGAACGGCAUUUGUGACUGCACGGCUAGAGUGUGUCAGAGGGGGGUAGAAUUCCACGUGUAGCAGUGAAAUGCGUAGAGAUGUGGAGGAAUACCGAUGGCGAAGGCAGCCCCCUGGGAUAACACUGACGCUCAUGCACGAAAGCGUGGGGAGCAAACAGG
rnacentral:rRNA from 1 species